rnacentral:lncRNA from 1 species
UAUCUAUGUUUUUAGAUUAUCUUAUCGGAAAUUACAGGUUGUACUUAAUACCUGUAAUUUGUAAUAUUUUUGCAAUAACUGUAUUUAAUUUAUGCUCAAGUUGACUACAACUGAAAAAACCGUAUUCGGUACAAAAAACACUUCUGAAAUCGUGAUAACAAAAUGUCAAACUUUUUCUCAAACUUGUUUAGUGGCACUAAAAGUAAGAGCAAAAAAGAGAAAAGCAAGGAAACGAAUCACGACAAUCACCUGACAGAGGACGGCCAAGAAGCAGAAAAUUUACCAGUGCUCAACAGAAGGUUGUCCCUAUCUAAGAGUGGAAGAAUGAAGGAGAAGAAGCGGUCCAAUAUAUCGGUAAUGCAGACUAAUCUAGACGGAAGUUGUAAGGAGACGAAUAACCGAAAACCAUCUCUGGUAAAUAAUGAGGUGUUUGAUAUCGAAGGCAUCGAACGUGCAGAAAAAGAGGCGAGCCAUCAACAACUCCAUUAAUGUGUCAUAUUUUACAAGGACCAAGUAUUGUGCCCUGUGAAACUGAGACUUUAAAGAUAUGAUUUAAAAGUGUGAUAUGGGAAAAGUGUAUAUUAUUUUGCCUGGUGAUGUUCGACUGGUUAUACUUCGUUUUAUAUGACGUAGCGGUUAAGAUUGUUUUUGCUGUAAUGAUCCAUACGCUCGAGCUGUGGCGGACUUCAUCCACCACUUCACAGGUGGCAGCUCCAACCCAAAAACAGCUAAUAUCUCACCCAGAACAUGGAAAACCCACAGCUACCAAUGUGAAAGGCCGAAAUGGUGCCAAAUUCAAAUUCAUCCCUACUUCCUGGACAACCAUUAUGUGGAAAACGUAAAGCGGGAAGUAAGCUUCAAAUACAGUUUUUAAAAUAUUUGUUUACAUUCAUAUACAUGUAGUUGUGUUUUAUUAUUUUUUAUUAUUAUUUAAAAUUAAUUAAAAAUAAAAUUUGUAAUCACAUUUAGUCAAGUUAAAUAAUAAAUUUUAUCGUUCUGAGUAUGUACAGCAAUUGCUCGGCUAUUCAAAGGCUAACGACAAGGCUUUCAUUGCAAAGGACAAAAUUGAAUCUUAAGUUAUGUACUUAAUACAGUUUGAAAAUUUAGCUGUAGAGUUUACACGUCGACAACUUAAGCUUGUAGAUAAUCAGUUAAACACAGUUAAUCUGCUAAUAGCAGACAUUUUUUAAAUUAUUUGUACCGGCGAUAACAAAAAUAUGAACAAUUAUUAACGACCAAGCGUCAUUUUUUAUAAUUUCACGCAUCAAUUUGUGCAUCAACUGUUGAUUCUGAAAUCAAUGUAAAUCGAUACAGGUUUAGAAAUUUGGAAAAAACGAUAAUAAUUUGAGAACUUUGUCGCCAUGUAAGGCUAAAAUGAAGCAACAUCUGACAUAGUUAAGUUUGCCUAGAUUGUCUUACUAUCGGGUAGGUAUAUAAUUUAUAGUUAAGCCGUUAAGCAUUGUAUAGUAACUUCAGGGAGACCCUGUAUAUUAUGAAACUGUAUACCAUGUUUUUUAAACCAUGUAUGUAAUACUCUUGUCUAUCGAAAAUGUCUUUGUUGUGAGAAAAACAUUCAUAAAUCCUGAA